UUUAGGGUUUUUUUUGGCAAGGCUCCAGCUCCUCCCCAUUUUAGGAGGAGCCACUUUUUUGGCUCUAGCUUCUUAAUAUAAAAUGGCUCCAGUUCCUUUAAUGCUCGUGGAGCCAUUUUUGACGUACCUAUUUGGUAGUCGGAGCCGCGGGAGAAGUCGGCGCUGGAGUACUACAAAGGGACAUUACAAUGCACCAUAGUUUAUUAGGUAGAAAAGUCUUUUAGGGAUGCUUACAU
rnacentral:lncRNA from 1 species